AUACUUACUUGGCGCGAGGGUUAACCGUGAUCAUUAAGGCGGUUCCUUCAGGAGGAGGUUGGCUCAUUGCACUACGAGUCAGCUGAACCCUGUGAGUGUCCCAAAUGCGGGCAUCUCGGGCGCGUAAUUUUUGUUAGUCGGGACUGCGUUCGCGCCGUCCCGGU